CAAUAGCGUAUAUUAAAGUUGUUGCGGUUAAAAAGCUCGUAGUUGGAUUUCUGCUGAGAACGACCGGUCCGCCCUUUGGGUGUGUAUCUGGCUCUUUCUUGGCAUCUUCUUGGUGAACGUUGCUGCACUUGACUGUGUGGAGCGCUACCCAGGACUUUUACUUUGAGGAAAUUAGAGUGUUUCAAGCAGGCAUACGCCUUGAAUACAUUAGCAUGGAAUAAUAAGAUAGGACCUCGGUUCUAUUUUGUUGGUUUCUAGAGCUGAGGUAAUGAUUGAUAGGGAUAGUUGGGGGCAUUCGUAUUUAACUGUCAGAGGUGAAAUUCUUGGAUUUGUUAAAGACGGACUACUGCGAANGNAUUUGCNAAGGAUGUUUNCAUUG
rnacentral:rRNA from 1 species